GGGGUAGUAGCUCAGCUGGUAGAGUUUUGGAUUCCAAUCAUGUAUGUGAACUAUCCAACGGUCGCAGGUUCGAGUCCUGUCUAUCUCA
rfam:Candida parapsilosis strain CDC317 annotated contig 005807